rfam:Mycobacterium obuense strain TC1 Mobu_contig000023, whole genome shotgun sequence.
AGCCGUCCCCACGGGAGCACGCACCGAGCGCGCUGAGAGGACGGGUAGGCCCGUCGACCGUACGAACCUGACCGGGUAAUGCCGGCGUAGGGAGAAGCGAAGAUGGCUUAUU